rnacentral:rRNA from 1 species
CUGCAGCUCAAGUGGUGACCGCUAUUAUUGGGCCUAAAACGUUCGUAGCCGGCUGAGUAAAUGCUUGGGUAAAUCGUGCCGCUUAACGGUACGAAUUCCGGGUAGACUGCUCAGCUUGAGACCGGGAGAAGCUAGAGGUACUCCUGGGGUAGGGGUGAAAUCCUGUAAUCCUGGGGGGACCACCAGUGGCGAAGGCGUCUAGCUAGAACGGGUCUGACGGUGAGGGACGAAACCCUGGGGCGCAAACCGGAUUAGAUACCCGAGUAGUCC